AACCAGACUCCUACGGGAGGCAGCAGUGGGGGAUAUUGCACAAUGGGGGGAACCCUGAUGCAGCGACGCCGCGUGGGUGAAGGAGUGCUUCGGCAUGUAAAGCCCUAUCGGCAGGGAAGAAGCAAGACGGUGCCUGACUAAGAAGCCCCGGCUAACUACGUGCCAGCAGCCGCGGGAAUACGUAGGGGGCGAGCGUUAUCCGGAUUCCCUGGGGGUAAAGGGAGCGUAGACGGCCAAGCAAGCCAGGGGUGAGAGCCCGGGGGCCAACCCCGGGACUGCCCUUGGAACUGCGGGGCUGGAGUGCGGGAGGGGCAGGCGGAAUUCCUGGUGUAGCGGUGAAAUGCGUAGAUAUCAGGAGGAACACCGGGGGCGAAGGCGGCCUGCUGGACCGCGACUGACGUUGAGGCUCGAAAGCGUGGGGAGCGAACAGGAGUAGAUACCCUCGUAAA
rnacentral:rRNA from 1 species